rnacentral:rRNA from 1 species
UGGGGAAUAUUGGACAAUGGGCGAAAGCCUGAUCCAGCAAUGCCGCGUGAGUGAUGAAGGCCUUAGGGUUGUAAAGCUCUUUUACCCGGGAUGAUAAUGACAGUACCGGGAGAAUAAGCCCCGGCUAACUCCGUGCCAGCAGCCGCGGUAAUACGGAGGGGGCUAGCGUUGUUCGGAAUUACUGGGCGUAAAGCGCACGUAGGCGGCUUUGCAAGUUAGAGGUGAAAGCCCAGGGCUUAACCCUGGAAUUGCCUUUAAAACUGCAUCGCUAGAAUUGUGGAGAGGUAAGUGGAAUUCCGAGUGUAGAGGUGAAAUUCGUAGAUAUUCGGAAGAACACCAGUGGCGAAGGCGACUUACUGGACACAUAUUGACGCUGAGGUGCGAAAGCGUGGGGAGCAAACAGG